rnacentral:misc_RNA from 1 species
CUGAAUGGCCUUUUGGCCUUCAACCUUGUAAACAUGUGGAAGCAAGAUGUGCUUCGGCGCUUCGGCGUCGCUUUUAUGCCAAGAUCAGUUUUGUAGUCUGAAUCAAUAUCAAAAACA